GACGAUCGCCGGCGGCGUGCCUAAUACAUGCAAGUAGAACGCUGAAGACUUUAGCUUGCUAAAGUUGGAAGAGUUGCGAACGGGUGAGUAACGCGUAGGUAACCUGCCUACUAGCGGGGGAUAACUAUUGGAAACGAUAGCUAAUACCGCAUAACAGCAUUUAACACAUGUUAGAUGCUUGAAAGGAGCAAUUGCUUCACUAGUAGAUGGACCUGCGUUGUAUUAGCUAGUUGGUGAGGUAACGGCUCACCAAGGCGACGAUACAUAGCCGACCUGAGAGGGUGAUCGGCCACACUGGGACUGAGACACGGCCCAGACUCCUACGGGAGGCAGCAGUAGGGAAUCUUCGGCAAUGGGGGCAACCCUGACCGAGCAACGCCGCGUGAGUGAAGAAGGUUUUCGGAUCGUAAAGCUCUGUUGUAAGAGAAGAACGUGUGUGAGAGUGGAAAGUUCACACAGUGACGGUAACUUACCAGAAAGGGACGGCUAACUACGUGCCAGCAGCCGCGGUAAUACGUAGGUCCCGAGCGUUGUCCGGAUUUAUUGGGCGUAAAGCGAGCGCAGGCGGUUUAAUAAGUCUGAAGUUAAAGGCAGUGGCUUAACCAUUGUUCGCUUUGGAAACUGUUAGACUUGAGUGCAGAAGGGGAGAGUGGAAUUCCAUGUGUAGCGGUGAAAUG
rnacentral:rRNA from 1 species